rnacentral:rRNA from 1 species
AUGAACGCUAGCUACAGGCUUAACACAUGCAAGUCGAGGGGCAUCAGGAAGAAAGCUUGCUUUCUUUGCUGGCGACCGGCGCACGGGUGAGUAACACGUAUCCAACCUGCCCUUUACUCGGGGAUAGCCUUUCGAAAGAAAGAUUAAUACCCGAUGGCAUAAUGAUUCCGCAUGGUUUCAUUAUUAAAGGAUUCCGGUAAAGGAUGGGGAUGCGUUCCAUUAGGUUGUUGGUGGGGUAACGGCCCACCAAGCCUUCGAUGGAUAGGGGUUCUGAGAGGAAGGUCCCCCACAUUGGAACUGAGACACGGUCCAAACUCCUACGGGAGGCAGCAGUGAGGAAUAUUGGUCAAUGGGCGGUAGCCUGAACCAGCCAAGUAGCGUGAAGGAUGAAGGCUCUAUGGGUCGUAAACUUCUUUUAUAUAAGAAUAAAGUGCAGUAUGUAUACUGUUUUGUAUGUAUUAUAUGAAUAAGGAUCGGCUAACUCCGUGCCAGCAGCCGCGGUAAUACGGAGGAUCCGAGCGUUAUCCGGAUUUAUUGGGUUUAAAGGGAGCGUAGGUGGACUGGUAAGUCAGUUGUGAAAGUUUGCGGCUCAACCGUAAAAUUGCAGUUGAUACUGGAUAUCUUGAGUGCAGUUGAGGCAGGCGGAAUUCGUGGUGUAGCGGUGAAAUGCUUAGAUAUCACGAAGAACUCCGAUUGCGAAGGCAGCUCACUGGACUGCAACUGACACUGAUGCUCGAAAGUGUGGGUAUCAAACAGGAUUAGAUACCCUGGUAGUCCACACAGUAAACGAUGAAUACUCGCUGUUUGCGAUAUACAGUAAGCGGCCAAGUGAAAGCAUUAAGUAUUCCACCUGGGGAGUACGCCGGCAACGGUGAAACUCAAAGGAAUUGACGGGGGCCCGCACAAGCGGAGGAACAUGUGGUUUAAUUCGAUGAUACGCGAGGAACCUUACCCGGGCUUAAAUUGCAGUGGAAUGAUGUGGAAACAUGUCAGUGAGCAAUCACCGCUGUGAAGGUGCUGCAUGGUUGUCGUCAGCUCGUGCCGUGAGGUGUCGGCUUAAGUGCCAUAACGAGCGCAACCCUUAUCUUCAGUUACUAACAGGUCAUGCUGAGGACUCUGGAGAGACUGCCGUCGUAAGAUGUGAGGAAGGUGGGGAUGACGUCAAAUCAGCACGGCCCUUACGUCCGGGGCUACACACGUGUUACAAUGGGGGGUACAGAAGGCAGCUAGCGGGUGACCGUAUGCUAAUCCCAAAAUCCUCUCUCAGUUCGGAUCGAAGUCUGCAACCCGACUUCGUGAAGCUGGAUUCGCUAGUAAUCGCGCAUCAGCCACGGCGCGGUGAAUACGUUCCCGGGCCUUGUACACACCGCCCGUCAAGCCAUGGGAGCCGGGGGUACCUGAAGUACGUAACCGCAAGGAUCGUCCUAGGGUAAAACUGGUGACUGGGGCU